rnacentral:rRNA from 3 species
CAUUCACGGAGAGUUUGAUCCUGGCUCAGGACGAACGCUGGCGGCGUGCUUAACACAUGCAAGUCGAACGAUGAAGCCCUUCGGGGUGGAUUAGUGGCGAACGGGUGAGUAACACGUGGGCAAUCUG